rnacentral:misc_RNA from 1 species
UCAAACUUGGUCAUUUAGAGGAAGUAAAAGUCGUAACAAGGUCUCCGUUGGUGAACCAGCGGAGGGAUCAUUAGAGGGUCGAGAGACCACCUACUGUUCUUAACCAUACCGCGUACCUAGCCGGAAAACUUAUGUCUCUGCCUCGGCGGCGGCCCCAGGGGGGGCCUCUGCUCGCUAAGCCGCAACCCGCGGCGCGGCGGGCGCCGCCGGUGGCGCCUAAACUAAAAAGCAUUGUAAGUGGGUUAUACCACUGCAAAAGAACAAACAAUAUAAAAUAUCAAAACCCAUUACAACCUGCAACAACGGAUCUCUUGGCUCCGGCAUCGAUGAAGAACGCAGC